GUAUCUCACUGUUUCAGGUUGGUUUCACUCAGGAGAAGAGGUAUAACCACACAUAUAUAGGAAAAUAAGGUAUUUCCACACAUAUAUAGGAAAAUAAGGUAUUUCCACACAUAUAUAGGAAAAUAAGGUAUUUCCACACAUAUAUAGGAAAAAAAGGUAUUACCGGUAUGCAGAUCUGCAGGGAUGCAUGUUUAUUUACAAUAUGGCUCGUUUACCUUACGUUUGAGGUUGAAACUACUCAAGCGCAAUGUUCCAAACCCAAAGGAGGGAGCCACAUGAGCCUGUCAGGAGACUACAUUACCCAAGAGACUUUCCCGGCGGGGUCGAAAGUCGUUUUCAAGUGUGACGUUGGUUAUGUCGGAUUUGCGAUGACCAUCACCUGUCUCGGUGAAACCUGGAAAAAUGUGACAUCUACCUGCCGGAGGAUAUCCUGUGCUCCCUGGAGAAGUGAUGAAUGGCAGGUAUGACCUCACAGAGGGGUGGAGUUUGAGCCAGAGUAACAGCCCAGUGUGACAAAGG